rnacentral:rRNA from 1 species
AUUGAACGCUGGCGGCAGGCCUAACACAUGCAAGUCGAACGAGUGGCGGACGGGUGAGUAAUGCUUGGGAAUCUUGCUUAUGGAGGGGGAUAACUACGGGAAACUGUAGCUAAUACCGCGUACCAUCGGAUGUGCCCAAGUGGGAUUAGGUAGUUGGUGGGGUAACGGCUCACCAAGCCGACGAUCUCUAGCUGGUCUGAGAGGAUGACCAGCCACACGGGAACUGAGACACGGCCCAGACUCCUAAGGGAGGCAGCAGUGGGGAAUAUUGCACAAUGGGGGCAACCUGAGGCAGCCAUGCCGCGUGAAUGAAGAAGGCCUUCGGGUUGUAAAGUACUUUCGGUAGCGAGGCGUUAACUACAGAAGAAGCACCGGCUAACUCCGUGCCAGCCGCCGCGGUAAUAC